GAAGCUGUCCUAUUCUCAAACUGGGAAACUGGAAUCACCUGAUUUGAAAGUGGGAUAACUUCUUCAUCCCAACUCCUAUGAGAUUUAUUCAACUUCCUGGUGAUUCUCCAACACUUUAUGUAUCCAAAUCAAGCUUCUUACAAAGUGAUUCAUCCUGGUUUGAUUCUGUCCUAUUCCCAAACUGCGAAUCUGGAAUCACAUGAUUUGAAAGUGGAUAACGUCUUUAUCCCAUCGCUUAUGAGAUUUAUUCAACUUCCUGGUGAUUCUCCACCGCUUUAUGUAUCCAAAUAAAGAUUCUUACAACGUGAUUCAUCCUGGUUUGAUUGGAAUGAUGAAGAAGCUGUCCUAUUCCCAAACUGCAAAACUGGAAUCACCUGAUUUGAAAGUGGGAUAACUUCUUCAUCCCAACUCCUAUGAGAUUUAUUCAACUUCCUGGUGAUUCUCCAACACUUUAUGUAUCCAAAUGAAGCUUCUUUCAAAGUGAUUCAUCCUGGUUUGAUUGCAAAGACUAAGAAGCUGUCCUAUUCCCAAACUGCGAAACUGGAAUCACCUGAUUUGAAAGUGGGAUAACUUCUUCAUCCCAACUCCUAUGAGAUUUAUUCAACUUCCUGGUGAUUCUCCAACACUUUAUGUAUCCAAGUCAAGCUUCUUACAAAGUGAUUCAUCCUGGUUUGAUUAUGUCCUAUUCCCAAACUGCGAAUCUGGAAUCACAUGAUUUGAAAGUGGAUAACGUCUUCAUCCCAUCGCUUAUGAGAUUUAUUCAACUUCCUGGUGAUUCUCCACCGCUUUAUGUAUCUAAAUCAAGCUUCUUACAAAGUGAUUCAUCCUGGUUUGAUUAUGUCCUAUUCCCAAACUGCGAAACUGGAAUCACCUGAUCCUGGUGAUUCUCCAACACUUUAUGUAUCCAAGUCAAGCUUCUUACAAAGUGAUUCAUCCUGGUUUGAUUAUGUCCUAUUCCCAAACUGCGAAACUGGAAUCACCUGAUUUGAAAGUGGGAUAACUUCUUCAUCCCAGCUCCUAUAAGAUUUAUUCAACUUUUUGGUGAUUCUCCACCGCUUUAUGUAUCUAAAUCAAGCUUCUUACAAAGUGAUUCAUCCUGGUUUGAUUGGAACGACGCAGAAGCUGUCCUAUUCCCAAACUGGGACACUAGAAUCACCUGAUUUGAAAGUGGGAUAACUUCUUCAUCCCAGCUCCUAUGAAAUUUAUUCAACUUCUUGGUGAUUCUGCACCACUUUAUGUAUCCAAAUCAAGCUAUUUACAAAUUGAUUCAUCCUGGUUUGAUUGCAACGAUGCUAAAGCUGUCCUACUCCCAAACUGCGAAACUGGAAUCACUUGAUUUGAAAGUGGGAUAACUUCUCCAUCCCAGCUCCUAUGAGAUUUAUUCAACUUCCUGGCAAUUCUCCAACACUUUGUGUAUCUAAAUCAAGCUUCUUACAACGUGAUUCAUCCUGGUUUGAUUGGAACGACGCAGAAGCUGUCCUAUUCCCAAACUGAAAAACUGGAAUCACAAGAUUUGAAAGUGGAUAACGUCUUCAUCCUAACUCCUAUGAGAUUUAUUCAACUUCCUGGUGAUUCUCCAACACUUUAUGUAUCCAAAUCAAGCUUCUUACAAAGUGAUUCAUCCUGGUUUGAUUGGAACGACGAAGAAGCUGUCGUAUUCCCAAACUGCGAAACUGGAAUCACCUUAUUUGAAAGUGGGAUAACUUCUUCAUCCCAGCUCCUAUGAGAUUUAUUCAACUUUCAGGUGAUUCUCCACCACUUUAUGUAUCAAAAUCAGGCUUCUUACAAAGUGAUUCAUCCUGUUUGAUUGGAACGACGCAGAAGCUGUCCUAUUCCCAAACUCCGAAACUGGAAUCACUUGAUUUGAAAGUGGGAUAAUUUCUUUAUCCCAGCUCCUAUGAGAUUUUUUCAACUUCCUGGUGAUUCUCCACCGCUUCAUGUAUCCAAAUCUAGCUUCUUACAAAGUGAUUCAUCCUGGUUUGAUUGGAAUGAUGAAGAAGCUGUCCUAUUCCCAAACUGCAAAACUGAAAUCACCUGAUUUGAAAGUGGGAUAACUUCUUCAUCCCAAAUCCUAUGAGAUUUAUUCAACUCCCUGGUGAUUCUGGGAACUGAAAUUCGCACUGUCGAUUUCCGUUUAAAUUAGGAAACUAAGAAAACCCUAAUUUCCCAGAGGUCCCGGAUCUCUGCGAGAGCCAACGACAAGUGACCAAAUAUAUGUGGAAAUCGUGAAAAGAUAACAAACGGGUUUAGAGAAAACAGUAAAUCUUAUUUCGAAUCUGCGUAAGAGCGUUGCGAUCAUUACAAGAGAUCAUAAAAGCUUUGGCCGCAAAGGCUGUCAGCGAGUUACCUAGUUCUAGCGGCCUAAAAGCUCAAACCUAGUUAAGUCGCAGCUCGAUAACAAAAAACGUAAAAGAUACAAAAAAGGUUUUUGAUUGAUUUCAGACUGAACCUUGUUAAAUGCUGCCUACGUACCCCUUUCGAGGAUCAAGCCGAACGUAGUUCAAUUGAUAGAGCUGGAAAAGAGAUCGAACUGCCUGGGCGAGUUCGUCUAGUAAUUGAGUGCCAGCCAUAGAAACCGAACUUGUCGAGAAUAAAGCCUAAAGUUUCUAAGUGCAGAGAAUUCCGAGUCUAAAAAGCUCUCCCCCAUGCUCCUCGCCUAGGACUCCUUAUAUACUAGCUCCAAGGUCGGUUUACGCUUUUACUCUUCUGCCCUUAAGCCGUCAUAGCAUAAAACAAACGAACAUGAAGUCGAGAUAUAAUCUCUUUCCUUAACUCUAAAUAUUCGCUCCGUAGUGAGACGGUACUGUACUUGGCUUGAGCGCUACGUAGCGACCGAGCGAGACGGACGCUCGGUCGCUAUGUAGCGACCGAGCUUGGCUCGGGCUUGGUCGCUACGUAGCGACCAAGCUUGGCUUGAGCUGGGUCGCUACGUAGCGGCCGAGCUGUGUGCAUGCUUGGUCGCCGCGUAUCGAUUUAGCUUGGCUUGUCCGCGGUCUGAUUUCCAUACUCGAGCUUGUCCGCGGCCGAUUUGGAUACAUGUCCGUUGCCUUCGGACAAUCGGUAUUUAAUGGUUCGAUUGAGAUUUGGAUGAUAUUUUACUGCAAGGCUCUUCGUGAAGAUAUCUUUACGAAGAUUACUUUUCGUAAAAACGUUUAUGCUUAUUUUUACGGACUUUCAGACAUUGAUUCCGUCGUGACCGAUUUUGACCCCAACAGUGAUUCUCCACCACUUUAUGUAUCAAAAUCAAGAUUAUUACAAAGUGAUUCAUCCUGGCUUGAUUGGAGCGACAAAGAAGUUGUCCUAUUCCCAAACUGCGAAACUUGAAUCACCUGAUUUGAAAGUGGGAUAACUUCUUCAUCCCAGCUCCUAUGAGAUUUAUUCAACUUCCUGGUGAUUCUCCACCGCUUUAUGUAUCCAAAUCAAGCUUCUUACAAAGUGAUUCAUCCUGGUUUAAUUGGAACGACACAGAAGCUGUCCUAUUCCCAAACUGGGAAACUAGAGUCACCUGAUUUGAAAGUGGGAUAACUUCUUCAUCCCAGCUCCUGUGAGAUUAAUUCAACUUACUGUUAGAAAACAAGGAGUUCCAAUCACAAGUGAUCUUCUCUCCCAAAUGAAACUUGUAACAAAACUAGGUCUAGAAAAAGCUCUGUUUUUUUUGCCGUCAAAAACUCUAGGCAGUAUAUAUUCUACUAGGUUAAAAACUCGUCAGGGCAUUUUGGUAAUUUGGCUUGCCCUUGGUUUUUAAGUCUGCUGAAUCCAAAAUGUCGCGUCUGGUGUCUCGACAUCGAUCGACGGUACUUGUAUACAUCGAUCGAUAUUAAUCUUCAUCUGUCGAGGCAUUUCCUGAUAUCGAUCGUCAGCACUGAUACGCAGCGAUCGAUUACUCUUCCUCUCGUCGACCUCUAAGUAGUCAGCUCGGGUGAAAUGUCCUUUAAGCUCCAAAAUGCUCCAAAGUCAUAGCUUUACUCCGAAAUGCACCUGAACCUGAAAACAUACCUAGAAGAGUAGAAAACAUAGAUAUAUAUAUAUAUAGUAAAAUACUUAUAUACCAUGGAUAAAAAUGGGUCAAAUCCAAGGUAUAUCACUGUCGUAUUCCCAAACUAGCAAACUGGAAUCACCUGAUUUGAAAGUGGGAAAACUUCUUCAUCCCAACUCCUAUGAGAUUUAUUCAACUUCCUGGUGAUUCUCCACCACUUUAUGUAUCCAAAUCAAGAUUCUUACAAAGUGAUUCAUCCUGGUUUGAUUGGAAUGAUGAAGAAGCUGUCCUAUUCCCAAACUGCAAAACUGGAAUCACCUGAUUUGAAAGUGGGAUAACUUCUUCAUCCCAACUCCUAUGCGAUUUAUUCAACUUCCUGGUAAUUCUCCAACACUUUAUGUAUCCAAAUCAAGCUUCUUACAAACUUAUUCAUCCUGGUUUGAUUGCAACGACUAAGAAGCUGUCCUAUUCCCAAACUGCGAAACUGGAAAUACCUGAUUUGAAAGUGGGAUAACUUCUUAAUCCCAGCUCCUAUGUGAUUUAUUCAACUUCCUGGUGGUUCUCCACCACUUUAUGUAUCCAAAUCAAGAUUCUUACAAAGUGAUUCAUCCUGGUUUGAUUGGAAUGAUGAAGAAGCUGUCCUAUUCCCAAACUGCAAAACUGGAAUCACCUGAUUUGAAAGUGGGAUAACUUCUUCAUCCCAACUCCUAUGCGGUUUAUUCAACUUCCUGGUAAUUCUCCAACACUCUAUGUAUCCAAAUCAAGCUUCUUACAAACUUAUUCAUCCUGGUUUGAUUGCAACGACUAAGAAGCUGUCCUAUUCCCAAACUGCGAAACUGGAAAUACCUGAUUUGAAAGUGGGAUAACUUCUUAAUCCCAGCUCCUAUGUGAUUUAUUCAACUUCCUGGUGGUUCUCCACCACUUUAUGUAUCCAAAUCAAGAUUCUUACAAAGUGAUUCAUCCUGGUUUGAUUGGAACGACGAAGAAGAUGUCCUAUUCUCUAACUGGAAAACUGGAAUCACCUGAUUUGAAAAUGGGAUAACUUCUUCAUCCCAACUCCUAUGAGAUUUAUUCAACUUCCUGGUGAUUCUCCAAUACUUUAUGUAUCCAAAUCAAGCUUCUUACAAAGUGAUUCAUCUUGGUUUGAUUGAAACGACUAAGAAGCUGUCCUAUUACCAAACUGCGAAACUGAUAUCACCUGAUUUGAAAGUUGGAUAACUUCUUCAUCCCAACUCCUAUGAGAUUUAUUCAACUUCCUGGUGAUUAUCCACCACUUUAUGUAUCCAAAUCAAUAUUCUUACAAAGUGAUUCAUCCUGGUUUGUUUGCAACGACUAAGAAGCUGUCCAAUUUUCAAACUGCAAAACUGGUGUCACCUUAUUUGAAAGUGGGAUAACUUCUUCAUCCCAACUCCUAUAAGAUUAAUUCAACCACCACUUUAUAUAUCCAAAUCAAGAUUCUUACAAAGUGAUUUAUCCUGGUUUGAUUGGAACGACGAAGAAGAUGUCAUAUUCCCAAACUGGGAAACUGGAAUCACCUGAUUUGAAAGUGGGAUAACUUCUUCAUCCCAGCUCUUAUGAGAUUUAUUCAACUUCCUCGUGAUUCUCCAACACUUUAUGAAUCUAAAUCAGGCUUCUUACAAAGUGAUUCAUCCUGGUUUGAUUGGAACGACGAAGAAGCUGUCCUAUUCCCAAACUGCGAAACUCGAAUCACCUGAUUUGAAAGUGGGAUAACUUCUUCAUCCCUGCUCCUAUGAGAUUUAUUCAACUUCCUGGUGAUUAUCCAACACUUUAUGUAUCCAAUUCAAGCUUCUUACAAAGUGAUUCAUCCUGGUUUGAUUGGAACGACGAAGAAGAUGUCCUAUUCCCAAACUAGCAAACUGGAAUCACCUGAUUUGAAAAAGUGGGAUAACUUCUUUAUCCUAAGUCCUAUGAGUUUUAUUCAAAUUCCUGGUGAUUCUCCACCAAUUUAUGUAUCCAAAUCAAGAUUCAUACAAAGUUGUUCAUCCUGGUUUGAUUGGAAUGAUGAAGAAGCUGUCCUAUUCCCAAACUGCAAAACUGGAAUAUCACCUGAUUUGAAAGUGGGAUAACUUCUUCAUCCCAACUCCUAUGCGAUUUAUUCAACUUCCUUGUUAUUCUCCAACACUUUAUGUAUCCAAAUCAAGCUUCUUACAAACUUAUUUAUCCUGGUUUGAUUGCAACGACUAAGAAGCUGUCCUAUUCCCAAACUGUGAAACUGGAAAUACCUGAUUUGAAUGUGGGAUAACUUUUUCAUCCCAGCUCCUAUGUGAUUUAUUCAACUUCCUGGUGGUUCUCCACCACUUUAUGUAUCCAAAUCAAGAUUCUUACUAAGUGAUUCAUCCUGGUUUGAUUGGAACGACGAAGAAGCUGUCCUAUUCCCAAACUGCGAAGCUGGAAUCACCUGAUUUGAAAGUGGGAUAACUUCUACAUCCCAGCUCUUAUGAGAUUUAUUCAACUUCCUAGUGAUUCUCCACCACUUUAUGUAUCCAAAUCAAGCUUGUUAGAAACUGUAUUCAACUUCCUAGUGAUUCUCCACCACUUUAUGUAUCCAAAUCAAGCUUCUUACAAAGUGAUUAAUCCUGGCUUGAUUGGAACGACAAAGAAGCUGUCCUAUUCCCAAACUGCGAAGCUGGAAUCACCUGAUUUGAAAGUGGGAUAACUUCUUCAUCCCAGCUCUUAUGAGAUUUAUUCAACUUCCUAGUGAUUCUCCAAAACUUUAUGUAUCUAAAUCAGGCUUCUUACAAAAUGAUUCAUCCUGGUUUGAUUGGAACAACGAAGAUACUGUCCUAUUCCCAAACUGUGAAACUGGAAUCACCUGAUUUGAAUGUGGGAUAACUUCUUCAUCCCUGCUCCUAUGAGAUUUAUUCAACUUCCUGGUGAUUAUCCAACACUUUAUGUAUCCAAAUCAAGCUUCUUACAAAGUGAUUCAUCCUGGUUUAAUUGGAACGACGAAGAAGAUGUCCUAUUCCCAAACUGGGAAACUAGAAUCACCUGAUUUGAAAGUGGGAUAACUUCUUCAUCCCAACUCCGUGGAAUCACUUGAUUUGAAAGUGGGAUAACUUCUUUAUCCUAAGUCCUAUGAGAUUUAUUCAAAUUCCUGGUGAUUCUUCACCAAUUUAUGUAUCCAAAUCAAGAUUCUUACAAAGUUAUUCAUCCUGGUUUGAUUGGAAUGAUGAAGAAGUUGUUCUAUUCUCAAACUGCAAAACUGGAAUCACCUGAUUUGAAAGUGGGGUAACUUCUUCAUCCCAACUCCUAUGCGGUUUAUUCAACUUCCUGGUAAUUCUCCAACACUUUAUGUAUCCAAAUCAAGCUUCUUACAAACUUAUUCAUCCUGGUUUGAUUGCAACGACUAAGAAGCUGUCCUAUUCCCAAACUGCGAAACUGGAAAUACCUGAUUUGAAAGUGGGAUAACUUCUUCAUCCCAGCUCCUAUGUGAUUUAUUCAACUUCCUGGUGGUUCUCCACCACUUUAUGUAUCCAAAUCAAGAUUCUUACAAAGUGAUUCAUCCUGGUUUGAUUGGAACGACGAAGAAGCUGUCCUAUUCCCAAACUGGGAAACUGCAAUCUCAUGAUUUAAAAGUGGGAUAACUUCUUCUUGCCAACUCCUAUGAGGUUUAUUCAAGUUCCUGGUGAUUCUCCACCACUUUAUGUAUCCAAAUCAAGAUUCUCACAAAGUGAUUCAUCCUUGUUUGAUUGGAACGAUGAAGAAGCUGUGCUAUUCCCAAACUAGGAAACUGGAAUCACCUUAUUUGAAAGUGGGAUAACUUCUUCAUCCCAACUCCUAUGAGAUUUAUUCAACUUGCUGGUGAUUCUCCACCACUUUAUGUAUCCAAUUCAAGCUUCUCACAAAGUGAUUCAUCCUGGUUUGAUUGGAACGACGAAGAAGCUGUCCUAUUCCCAAACUGGGAAACUGGAAUCACCUUAAUUGAAAGUGGGAUAACUUCUUCAUCCCAACUCCUAUGAGAUUUAUUCAACUUCCUGGUGAUUCUCCACCAUUUUAUGUAUCGAAAUCAAGCUUCUGACAAAGUGAUUCAUCCUGGUUUUAUUGGAACGACGAAGAAGCUGUUCCCAAACUGGGAAUCUGGAAUCACAUGAUUUGAAAGUGGGAUAACUUCUUCAUCCCAACUCUUAUGAGAUUUAUUCAACUUCCUGAUGAUUCUCCACCACUUUAUGUAUCCAAAUCAAACUUCUCAUAAAGUAUUUCAUCCUGGUUUGAUUGGAACGACGAAGAAGCUGUGAUAUUCCACAACUGGGAAACUGGAAUCACCUGAUUUGAAAGUGGGAUAACUUCUUCAUCCCAACUCCUAUGAGAUUUAUUCAACUUGCUGGUGAUUCUCCACCACUUUAUGUAUCCAAAUCAAGCUUCUGACAAAGUGAUUAAUCCUAUUUUGAUUGGAACGACGAAGAAGCUGUGCUAUUCACAAACUGGGAAACUGGAAUCACUUUAAUUGAAAGUGGGAUAACUUCUUCAUCCCAACUCCUAUGAGAUUUAUUCAACUUCCUGGUGAUUCUCGACCACUUUAUCAAUCCAAUUCAAGCUUCUCACAAAGUGAUUCAUCCUGGUUUGCAUGGAACGACGAAGAAGCUGUCCUAUUCCCAAACUGGGAAACUGGAAUCACCUUAUUUGAAAGUGGGAAAACUUCUUCAUCCCAACUCCUAUGAGCUUUAUUCAAGUUCCUGGUGAUUCUCCACCACUUUAUGUAUCCAAAUCAAGCUUCACACAAAGUGAUUCUUCCUGGUUUGAUUGGAACGGAAGAAGCCGUGCUAUUCCCAAACUGGGAAACUGGAAUCACAUGAUUUGAAAGUGGGAUAACUUCUUGUUGCCAACUCCUAUGAGGUUUAUUCAAGUUCCUGGUGAUUCUCAACCACUUUAUGUAUGCAAAUCAAGCUUCUCACAAAUUGAUUCAUCCUUGUUUGAUUGGAACGACGAAGAAGCUGUGCUAUUCCCAAACUGGGAAACUGGAUUCACCUGAUUUGAAAGUGGGAUAACUUGUUCAUCCCAACUACUAUGAGAUUUAUUCAACUUCCAGGUGAUUCUCCACCACUUUAUGUAUCCAAAUAAAGCUUCUCACAAAGUGAUUCAUCCUGGUUUGAUUGGAACAACGAAGAAGCUGUCUUAUUCCCAAACUGGGAAACUGGAAUCACCUGAUUUGAAAGUGGGAUAACUUCUUCAUCCCAACUCCUAUGAGAUUUAUUCAACUUCAUGGUGAUUCUCCACCACUUUAUGUAUCGAAAUCAAGCUUCUGACAAUGUGAUUCAUCCUGGUUUGAUUGGAACGACGAAGAAGAUGUGCUAUUCCCAAACUGGGAAUCUGGAAUCACAUGAUUUGAAAGUGGGAUAACUUUUUCUUGCCAACUCCUAUGAGGUUUAUUCAAGUUCCUGGUGAUUCUCCACCACUUUAUGUAUCCAAAUAAAGCUUCUGACAAAGUGAUUAAUCCUGGUUUGAUUGGAACGACGAAGAAGCUCUGCUAUUACCAAACUGGGAAACUGGAAUCACAUGAUUUGAAAGUUGGAUAACUUCUUCUUGCGAACUCCUAUGAGAUUUAUUCAACUUCCUGGUGAUUAUCCACCACUUUAUGUAUCCAAUUCAAGCUUCUCACAAAGUGAUUCAUCCUGGUUUGAUUGGAACGACGAAGAAGCUGUGCUAUUCCCAAACAGGGAAACUGGAAUCACAUGAUUUGAAAGUUGGAUAACUUCUUCUUGCGAACUCCUAUGAGAUUUAUUCAACUUGCUGGUGAUUCUCCACCACUUUAUGUAUCGAAAUCAAGCUUCUGACAAAGUGAUUCAUCUUGGUUUGAUUGGAACGACGAAGAAGCUGUGCUAUUCCCAAACUGGGAAACUGGAAUCACCUGAUUUCAAAGUGGGAUAACUUCUUCAUCCCAACUCCUAUGAGAUUUAUUCAACUUCCUGGUGAUUCUCCACCACUUUAUGUAUCCAAUUCAAGCUUCUCACAAAGUGACUCAUCCUGGUUUGAUUAGAACGACGAAGCUGUCCUAUUCCCAAACUGGGAAACUGGAAUCACUUUAAUUGAAAGUGGGAUAACUUCUUCAUCCCAACUCCUAUGAGAUUUAAUCAACUUCCUGGUGAUUCUCCACCACUUUAUGUAUCGAAAUCAAGCUUCUGACAAAGUGAUUAAUCCUAGUUUAAUUAGAAUGACGAGGAAGUUAUCAUAUUCCCAUACAGGAAAACUGGAAUCACCUGAUUUGAAAGUGGGAUAACUUCUUCGAAUCUGGAAUCACAUGAUUUGAAAGUGGGAUAACUUAUUCUUGCCAAUUCCUAUGAGGUUUAUUCAAGUUCCUGGUGAUUCUCCACCACUUUAUGUAUUCAAAUCAAGCUUCUCACAAAGUGAUUCAUCCUGGUUUGAUUGGAACGACGAAGAAGCUGUGCUAUUCCCAAACAGGGAAACUGGAAUCACAUGAUUUGAAAGUGGGAUAACUUCUUCUUGCCAACUCCUUUGAGGUUUAUUCAAGUUCCUGGUGAUUCUCCACCACUUUAUGUAUCGAAAUCAAGAUUCUCACAAAGUGAUUCAUCUUUGUUUGAUUGGAACGACGAAGAAGCUGUGCUAUUCCCAAACUGGGAAACUAGAAUCACCUGAUUUGAAAGUCGGAUAACUUCUUCAUCCUGAAGGACGAGGAAGUUAUCAUAUUCCCAAACAUGAAAACUAGAAUCACCUGAUUUGAAAGUGGGAUAACU
rnacentral:lncRNA from 1 species